rnacentral:rRNA from 1 species
GUGGGGAAUAUUGCACAAUGGGCGAAAGCCUGAUGCAGCGACGCCGCGUGAGGGAUGACGGCCUUCGGGUUGUAAACCUCUUUCAGCAGGGAAGAAGCGCAAGUGACGGUACCUGCAGAAGAAGCGCCGGCUAACUACGUGCCAGCAGCCGCGGUAAUACGUAGGGCGCAAGCGUUGUCCGGAAUUAUUGGGCGUAAAGAGCUCGUAGGCGGUCUGUCGCGUCUGGUGUGAAAUUCCGAGGCUCAACCUCGGGCUUGCAUCGGGUACGGGCAGACUAGAGUGCGGUAGGGGAGACUGGAAUUCCUGGUGUAGCGGUGGAAUGCGCAGAUAUCAGGAGGAACACCGAUGGCGAAGGCAGGUCUCUGGGCCGCAACUGACGCUGAGGAGCGAAAGCAUGGGGAGCGAACAGGAUUAGAUACCCUGGUAGUCC